GACGAACGCUGGCGGCGUGCUUAACACAUGCAAGUCGAACGGAAAGGCCCUGCUUUUGUGGGGUGCUCGAGUGGCGAAAGGGUGAGUAACACGUGAGUAACCUGCCCUUGACUUUGGGAUAACUUCAGGAAACUGGGGCUAAUACCGGAUAGGAGCUCCUGCUGCAUGGUGGGGGUUGGAAAGUUUCGGCGGUUGGGGAUGGACUCGCGGCUUAUCAGCUUGCUGGUGGGGUAGUGGCUUACCAAGGCUUUGACGGGUAGCCGGCCUGAGAGGGUGACCGGCCACAUUGGGACUGGGAUACGGCCCAGACUCCUACGGGAGGCAGCAGUGGGGAAUAUUGCACAAUGGGCGGAAGCCUGAUGCAGCAACGCCGCGUGCGGGAUGACGGCCUUCGGGUUGUAAACCGCUUUCGCCUGUGACGAAGCGUGAGUGACGGUAAUGGGUAAAGAAGCACCGGCUAACUACGUG
rnacentral:rRNA from 1 species